rnacentral:rRNA from 1 species
UACGUAGGGGGCGAGCGUUGUCCGGAUUUAUUGGGCGUAAAGAGCUCGUAGGCGGUUCGGUAAGUCGGAUGUGAAAUCUCCACGCUCAACGUGGAGGGGCCAUUCGAUACUGCCGUGACUCGAGUCCGGUAGGGGAGUGUGGAGUUCCCGGUGUAGCGGUGAAAUGCGCAGAGAUCGGGAGGAACACCCGUAGCGAAGGCGGCACUCUGGGCCGGUACUGACGCUGAGGAGCGAAAGCGUGGGGAGCGAACAGG